UUUUAGUAUAAAUUUUAGUGUUCAACUUUAAUCGUCUAUAUUAUUUGAAUUUUUUUAUAAUUAGUAUUUUUUAUUGAUAUCAGAUGAUAAAAUAUAAAUAGUACUUUAAGUGUGACUUAUGUUCUUUAACGAACGAUUAAAAUUGAACACGGAAAUUUAAGGUUGCGCUUAAA
rnacentral:pre_miRNA from 1 species